AACCCAGACUCCUACGGGAGGCAGCAGUGGGGAAUAUUGCACAAUGGGGGAAACCCUGAUGCAGCGACGCCGCGUGAGUGAAGAAGUAUUUCGGUAUGUAAAGCUCUAUCAGCAGGGAAGAAAAUGACGGUACCUGACUAAGAAGCCCCGGCUAACUACGUGCCAGCAGCCGCGGUAAUACGUAGGGGGCAAGCGUUAUCCGGAUUUACUGGGUGUAAAGGGAGCGUAGGUGGCAUGGUAAGCCAGAAGUGAAAACCCGGGGCUCAACCCCGCGGAUUGCUUUUGGAACUAUCAGGCUGGAGUGCUGGAGGGGUAAGCGGAAUUCCUAGUGUAGCGGUGAAAUGCGUAGAUAUUAGAAAGAACACCAGUGGCGAAGGCGGCUUUCUGGACUUAAACUGACGCUGAGGCACGAAAGCGUGGGGAGCGAACAGGAUUAGAUACCCCCGUA
rnacentral:rRNA from 1 species